UCACCUCUGCAGGCUGGCCGGCCCCCAGCCUGGGCUGGGCGAGUAUCUCUUCCAAAGGCUCAUCCUCAAGCAAGACUAGCAGC
rnacentral:pre_miRNA from 1 species